GAAGGGUGUACCUGCAGGCCCGGAGACCCAACAACGUUCUCAGGACCGCAUUCUCAGGACCCAGGCAUUUCUAACACAGCGCCUCCUACAGGGUGGAGUUUGUUUUAUUUUCUGGAGACUUUAGGAGACACAUUGCACACAAGGCCUGCAGGUUUAUAUUACUGGUACAAUCGACGGGCCACAAGCUCCCCGCUCACCUCCAUUCUGAUGCAUCCACUUGCAGACAAUUAGAUCCAUGAUUAAUCCUUCAAGUGAGAUGAACCAAGGUGAACCAGGAGGACUGUCUGCAUGAUUCAGCUCUAAAUAAAGGUGUGUUCGAAAAAAAAAAAAAAGUGAUGCAACAAAAUGGGAACAGGGAUGUAGCCUAUUUUUGAUAUACAAAAAAAAACUUAACAUAUUAAACUAAUAGUUUUAAAGUGUAUAAUUAUGUAUUAAAUUAUAUUAUAUAUUGUUCUUGUUAGUGAAUUGUUAGGAAUUACCUUUUUUCAGAUAUAUAAUUUAUUUUUUUCAGAAAAAAAAAA